rnacentral:rRNA from 1 species
AUUGAACGCUGGCGGCGUGCUUUACACAUGCAAGUCGAACGGCAGCAUUAUCUUCGGAUAGAUGGCGAGUGGCGAACGGGUGAGUAAUACAUCGGAACAUGCCUAGAAGUUGGGGAUAACGCAUCGAAAGAUGUGCUAAUACCGAAUAAUCUCUGAGGAGGAAAGCUGGGGACUAGAAAUGGCCUGGCGCUUUAAGAUUGGCCGAUGGUUGAUUAGCUAGUUGGUUAGGUAAAAGCUGACCAAGGCGAUGAUCAAUAGCUGUUCUGAGAGGAAGAUCAGCCACACUGGGACUGAGACACGGCCCAGACUCCUACGGGAGGCAGCAGUGGGGAAUUUUGGACAAUGGGGGAAACCCUGAUCCAGCAACGCCGCGUGAAUGAAGAAGGCCUUAGGGUUGUAAAGUUCUUUUAUUUGGGAGCAAAGCUUUUGUGUUAAUAGCAUAGGAGUAUGAGAGUACCAAAGGAAUAAGCACCGGCUAACUACGUG